AGUCUGAUGACUUUGCGGCAUUGAUAAAGCCAGUGCUUUAAACACUUGCUAGCAUGUGAUUGUCAGGGAGGAAAGGAUAUUUUAAUGAAGGAUUGGGUCUGUGAUUUUAGAAGCAACUGGCAUUUCCAGCCUAGGUAUUGGAUAGCCUCAAACUCCAAAUGUCGUUUCUUUGCGGAAUCUUUUAUGAUGGAUUCUAACAGAUCUUUUAUUAUGGAGGCUUCCCUAAACAUCUCAGUCACUUGGGGGCCAUCUGGGCAGGCAGGGGUCAGAGUCCCGGGGACCCUGCUGUGGUUAAGACUUUACCAAUGGUCCCACAGCAACUAAGGGGCCCUGGGAGAGCGGCUCCCCUGGUUCUACUCUUGACAGCCCCUUUCAUCUUCACCCCUGCCAUGCAGAGCUGCAGUCUACACUGCUUUCCUCUCCCUUUUCCUGCUUAAAACAUGAACCACCCCUUUAAUGUUGGAGGUCUGAUGGAGUGUGGGCCUUUUUGGAGGCCUUGGGGUGCUAGAGACAGUGCCUUCAUCUGCAGAGAAAAAAGGACAGGAAGGGUUUCCUCUAUCCAAACUCAACAAGUGCUCCUGAUUUUGCCAUGCAGAUCUGGAAGAGAAUCUGGGCUCAUUGUUCCAGAAAGGCAACAGUCAGCCUCUGCCGUUGGAGGUUGGCUUCUCCCUUUUUCUUCUGGAACCCGGCCUUAGGAUGUUCUCAGCUCCUGGCCACAGAGUGUGCCCAGGCCGGUCUUUUUGAGAAGAGCUGCCUCAAUGAAGCAUUCUUUAAGGCAAGAAUGGAGGCGAUGUCUUUAUUUCUCCUCUUACUCCUGGAUCCUGACCUUCCUGAUAAGAAGGGAGGGGCGACGACCCUCCUGAGCUCCCCAUGUGCCCCUGUAUAUAAAGAAAUGGUGAUUCUGCCUAUGAGCUCCAUGGCUUUAAAAACGGAACAUCAGUGGGCUCCGGUUCCUUGGCUGUUUCUCUGAGAGCUGAUCUUCUGGAGAAGUGAACAGAUUUAUGGAAAGCAGCGUUGAGGCAUCAUGUACUGGCGGGAGGAUUUCGACAAAGGCCAGAACCUUGAAAGACGACAGAUGACAAGGAGGCGCCUGCCCCUGGGUUCCGGCGGAUGCUCUUGUUGAGUUCAGGGCGUGAGGGGCACUUCCUAGGACACCCCCGUGGGGCUGCCCAGGUGCAC
rnacentral:lncRNA from 1 species